AGCAGCCGCGGUAAUUCCAGCUCCAAUAGCGUAUAUUAAAGUUGUUGCAGUUAAAAAGCUCGUAGUUGAAUUUCGGGGUCAGUAGUUUGGUCGUGCCAACGGUAUGUACUGGGCUCACUGAUUCCUCCUUCCUGAUGAACUGUAAUGCCAUUAAUUUGGUGUUGCAGGGAAACUGGACUGUUACUUUGAAAAAAUUAGAGUGUUUAAAGCAAGCUAACGCUUGAAUACAUUAGCAUGGAAUAAUGAAAUAGGACGUUCGAUCCUAUUUUGUUGGUUUCUAGGAUUGACGUAAUGAUUAAUAGGGAUAGUUGGGGGCAUUAGUAUUCAAUUGUCAGAGGUGAAAUUCUUGGAUUUAUUGAAGACUAACUACUGCGAAAGCAUUUGCCAAGGAUGUUUUCAUUAAUCAAGAACGAAAGUUAGGGGAUCGAAGACGAUCAGAUACCGUCGUAG
rnacentral:rRNA from 1 species